rnacentral:rRNA from 1 species
UCCGUAGGUGAACCUGCGGAAGGAUCAUUACUGUGAUUUACUACUACACUGCGUGAGCGGAACGAAAACAACAACACCUAAAAUGUGGAAUAUAGCAUAUAGUCGACAAGAGAAAUUUACGAAAAAACAAACAAAACUUUCAACAACGGAUCUCUUGGUUCUCGCAUCGAUGAAGAGCGCAGCGAAAUGCGAUACCUAGUGUGAAUUGCAGCCAUCGUGAAUCAUCGAGUUAUUGAACGCACAUUGCACCCCUCGGCAUUCCGGGGGGCAUGCCUGUUUGAGCGUCGUUUCCAUCUUGCGCGUGCGCAGAGUUGGGGGAGCGGAGCGGACGACGUGUAAAGAGCGUCGGAGCUGCGACUCGCCAGAAAGGGAGCGAAGCUGGCCGAGCGAAUUAGACUUUUUUUCAGGGACGCUUGGCGGCCGAGAGCGAGUGUUGCGAGACAACAAAAAGCUCGACCUCAAAUCAGGUAGGAAUACCCGCUGAACUUAAGCAUAUCAAUAAGCGGAG